GAUGAAGAACGCAGCGAAAUGCGAUAAGUAGUGUGAAUUGCAGAAUUCAGUGAAUCAUCGAAUCUUUGAACGCACAUUGCGCCCACUGGUAUUCCGGUGGGCAUGCCUGUUCGAGCGUCAUUAUCCUCCCUCAAACCCCGGGUUUGGUGUUGGACCCAAGUUGUGUGAACAACUGGUCUCAAAGACAAUGACGGCGUCCGUGGGACCCUCGGUGCAACGAGCUUUUAGGAGCACGCAUCGAGUUGCAAGGACCUUCCGGGCCGGUCUCCUUUACCAUUUUACAAGGUUGACCUCGGAUCAGGUAGGAAUACCCGCUGAACUUAAGCAUAUCAAUAAGCGGAGGA
rnacentral:misc_RNA from 1 species